AAGGGUUUCCUGAUCAACGCUAAUCGGAUCAGGGUUAGUCGGGGACUAAGGAUAACCCGCGAGGGGAGGCCGAUGUAAAAUAGGUUAAUAUUCCUAUACCUGCGUAUAGUGCGAUGUGGGGACGAAGGUGCGUAACUGCUGCGAUCAGACGGAAUUGGUCGUUGAAGGAGGGUAGGUUAUGAGAUGGGUAGAGAAGUUCGCCCGUUGAGCCGAGCUCUGAUAGUACCCUAAUGUUUAGGCAGAAAGGAUAAUGCAGCCAAGCGAACUUCCAAGAAAAGCCACUAAGCUUCAGCUAUACGGAGCCCGUACCGGAAACCGACACAGGUGUCCGAGGAGAAUAUCCUAAGGUGCUCGAGUGAUUCACGGCUAAGGAACUCGGCAAAUUGAUCUCGUAACUUCGGGAGAAGAGAUACCUACCCAGAGAUGGGAGGUCGCAGAGAAUAGGUCCAGGCAACUGUUUAACAAAAACACAGGGCACUGCUAAAUCGUGAGAUUAGGUAUAGUGCCUGACACCUGCCCGGUGCUGGAAGGUUAAGGGAGGGGGUCAGCCGCAAGGUGAAGCUCUUGACUGAAGCCCCAGUAAACGGCGGCCGUAACAAUAACGGUCCUAAGGUAGCGAAAUUCCUUGUCGGGUAAGUUCCGACCUGCACGAAUGGUGUAAUGAUCUGGACACUGUCUCGGCCGUGAGCUCGGUGAAAUUGUAGUAUCGGUGAAGAUGCCGAUUACCCGCAACGGGACGGAAAGACCCCGUGAACCUUCACUACAACUUAACACUGUAUCUGGGUAAAUGAUGUGUAGGAUAGGUGGGAGGCUAUGAAGCUGUCACGCUAGUGAUGGUGGAGCCGACGUUGAAAUACCACCCUUUAUUUACUUAGAUACUAACUGGUCGCAAUGACUAGGACCCUGUUUGGUGGGUAGUUUGACUGGGGUGGUCGCCUCCUAAAGAGUAACGGAGGCUUCCAAAGGUACCCUCAGCAUGGACGGUAAUCAUGCGAAGAGCGUAUUAGUAUAAGGGUGCUUGACUGCGAGACCGACAAGUCGAGCAGGUAGGAAACUAGGGUAAAGUGAUCCGGUGGUUCUGUAUGGAAGGGCAUCGCUCAAAGGAUAAAAGGUACUCCCGGGAUAACAGGCUGAUCUCCCCCAAGAGCUCAUAUCGACGGGGAGGUUUGGCACCUCGAUGUCGGCUCGUCACAUCCUGGGGCUGGAGAAGGUCCCAAGGGUUGGGCUGUUCGCCCAUUAAAGUGGCACGCGAGCUGGGUUCAGAACGUCGCAAGACAGUUCGGUCCCUAUCUGUUGUGGGCGUAAGAGACUUGAGAGGUAUUAACAUUAGUACGAGAGGACCGUGUUGGACGAACCUCUGGUGUACCGGUUGUGGCGCCAGCUGCACCGCCGGGUAGCUAUGUUCGGCAUGGAUAAGCACUGAAAGCAUCUAAGUGCGAAGCCACCCUCAAGAUGAGGUCUCUGAUGAAGGGUCGUUGGAGAUUACGACGUUGAUAGGUUGCAGGUGUAAAGGUAGAGAUAUCAAAGCCGAGCAAUACUAAUAACCCGCGAGCUUC
rnacentral:rRNA from 1 species